rnacentral:rRNA from 1 species
GCCCUUUUCCGGUUGAUCCUGCCGGAGGCCAUUGCUAUUGGGAUUCGAUUUAGCCAUGCUAGUCGCACGAGUUCAGACUCGUGGCGAAUAGCUCAGUAACACGUGGCCAAACUACCCUUCGGACCACAAUACCCUCGGGAAACUGAGGCUAAUAGUGGAUACCACAGUCCACCUGGAAUGAGGACUGUGCCAAACGCUCCGGCGCCGAAGGAUGUGGCUGCGGCCGAUUAGGUAGACGGUGGGGUAACGGCCCACCGUGCCAAUAAUCGGUACGGGUCAUGAGAGUGAGAACCCGGAGACGGAAUCUGAGACAAGAUACCGGGCCCUACGGGGCGCAGCAGGCGCGAAACCUUUACACUGCACGACAGUGCGAUAAGGGGACUCCGAGUGCGAGGGCGUACAGUCCUCGCUUUUCACUACCGUAAGGUGGUAGUGGAAUAAGUGCUGGGCAAGACCGGUGCCAGCCGCCGCGGUAAUACCGGCAGCACGAGUGAUGACCGCUAUUAUUGGGCCUAAAGCGUCCGUAGCCGGCCGAACAAGUCCGUCGGGAAAUCCGCACGCCUAACGUGUGGGCGUCCGGCGGAAACUGUUCGGCUUGGGACCGGAAGACUCGAGGGGUACGUCCGGGGUAGGAGUGAAAUCCCGUAAUCCUGGACGGACCACCGGUGGC